CGUAGGUAACCUGCCCAUGUGUCCGGGAUAACUGCUGGAAACGGUAGCUAAAACCGGAUAGGUAUACAGAGCGCAUGCUCAGUAUAUUAAAGCGCCCAUCAAGGCGUGAACAUGGAUGGACCUGCGGCGCAUUAGCUAGUUGGUGAGGUAACGGCCCACCAAGGCGAUGAUGCGUAGCCGGCCUGAGAGGGUAAACGGCCACAUUGGGACUGAGACACGGCCCAG
rnacentral:rRNA from 1 species